rnacentral:rRNA from 1 species
UAAUACGGAGGGUCCAAGCGUUAUCCGGAAUCAUUGGGUUUAAAGGGUUCGCAGGCGGUUUCUUAAGUCAGUGGUGAAAUCCUACAGCUCAACUGUAGAACUGCCAUUGAUACUGAGAAACUUGAAUAUAGUUGAAGUAGGCGGAAUGCGUAGUGUAGCGGUGAAAUGCUUAGAUAUUACACAGAACACCGAUAGCGAAGGCAGCUCACUAAACUAUUAUUGACGCUCAUGAACGAAAGCGUGGGGAGCGAACAGGAUUAGAUACCCUGGUAGUCCACGCCGUAAACUAUGAUUACUCGAUAUUGGCGAUAUACUGUCAGUGUCUAAGCGAAAGUGAUAAGUAAUCCACCUGGGGAGUACGGUCGCAAGAUUG